AACUAUUUUCCGAUGAACAAAGACAUCAGCCAGCACUGGCUUCUUUUCAUGUCGGGUGGACAGGCUGAGGCUGCACCUAAAAUGACCAAAAUGCAACGCGUGUAGUGCACAUUUCAAAUGAAGUUGCUUUAAAAAAAAAUUGGGGACAACAAUCGAUGGGUCUUGCCAGGAAGCUAAUCAUGAAGACAGAUGCUGUACCAUCAUGACAGUGGAUCUUGCAAGCGCUCAGAGUUGGAUGAGUCUGACACGGUUGGCAACAACGUUAGCUAAAGCAACUGUGGCUGCUUUAAUUUGUGAAAUGUAUUUGAGUGUGGGACAUUUGUUUUAUUGCUUUAUGGUUACAUUGGUUAUUAGCUAGCUGCCCCCCGGACAGUCACUAUAUGUGUUUUGUUCUUCCACCACGAAGCCCCCUGAGUGCCAGCCCACCAACAAAGGAGAUUGACACCCAAUAUCACCACCGAAAUCCAUGCAGGACAUUACAAAAUACAUUAUGUAUGAGGAUUGCCUGUUGGAACUCUUCCAAGACUGCCCCAUCUGCACAAGGGUGUGCCGUGGCACAAGGUUUGUGAGGGGGACAUUCUUGUCUGUGGAGCAGAAAUGUUCCUACAGCGACUGCUCAUUUACCACAGUGGAAGAGCAAGCCCCUCAUUGACAGCAUCCCAGAUGGAAACCUCCACCUCUCUGCUGACAUAUACACCUCACUGGGUCAUCUUUUAUCCAGUUAAAGAAGGUGGAGCCUUCCAUAUAUUUCGUUUCUACAAUACUGAGCAGACCGAGCUGAUUCAAUCCAUGACACAGGGGGAGGGAUGAGUUGCCAUUGGAGGAGACAUGAGGACAGACUCCCCUGGUGAAACAACCCCAGAAUUGCCCUUCAAUCUUAUGGUGCUCCACAGUAGCUAACAAUGUUUCUCUCAACAAGUAGGUGCGUGUUUUUGUCACCACAGUAUAUCGUCUCUUUAGAAGAGUUUGGGUCAUGCUCCGUGAUGGACAUUGAAACUGUCAAGACUGUGGAUGUCCAGCAGGUGUUUUUCUUUUCACAAAUUGACUUGAAUUGAUCAAAUAAUUUAGCAAUGAUGUUGGUGGCAGUAGCCACAUGGAGAAGGAGGGACUGAAAAGGAGCCUUGAAUUCCUGCGAAGGUCGAAUGUGAGGGUCACAUCGAUGAUCACGGAUCGGCAUCCCCAUAUCCAGAAAUUCCUCA
ensembl:lncRNA